UACGGAAGGGGGCUAGCGUUGCUCGGAAUCACUGGGCGUAAAGCGCACGUAGGCGGAUUGCUAAGUCAGGGGUGAAAUCCUGGAGCUCAACUCCAGAACUGCCUUUGAUACUGAAGAUCUCGAGUCCGGGAGAGGUGAGUGGAACUGCGAGUGUAGAGGUGAAAUUCGUAGAUAUUCGCAAGAACACCAGUGGCGAAGGCGGCUCACUGGCCCGGUACUGACGCUGAGGUGCGAAAGCGUGGGGAGCAAACAGG
rnacentral:rRNA from 1 species